ACAAACUAGCAACAUGCGGAAAACAAAUGGCAAGAAUACAACACAAACAAUCUGCCUGAAAAGUACAACUUAGAUAGCCUAUUUAAUGUGAUGUUUUGUUGACCAACACAAUUAAUUGAGAUGAAAAAGAAGGUGGCGCUUGCUAAUAAUUGUCUACAGAGGCUAGAAUUUAGGUUCCAGGCAUACUCAUCUUGAAUCUAAAUUUUGUAUGCACGUUGGGAGAAAGAUAAACCAAAUAGAGAGUCUAC
rnacentral:lncRNA from 1 species